UGAGGAAUAUUGGUCAAUGGACGGAAGUCUGAACCAGCCAUGCCGCGUGAAGGAUUAAGGCCCUAUGGGUCGUAAACUUCUUUUGUGGUGGAGCAAUAAGGUCUACGUGUAGAUUGAUGAGAGUACAUCACGAAUAAGCAUCGGCUAACUCCGUGCCAGCAGCCGCGGUAAUACGGAGGAUGCAAGCGUUAUCCGGAUUUAUUGGGUUUAAAGGGUGCGUAGGCUGUUCUUCAAGUCAGGGGUGAAAGCCCGGCGCUUAACGCCGGAACUGCCUUUGAUACUGUUGAGCUGGAAUACGGAUGCCGUGGGAGGAAUGAGUAGUGUAGCGGUGAAAUGCAUAGAUAUUACUCAGAACACCGAUUGCGAAGGCAUCUCACGAAUCCGUUAUUGACGCUGAGGCACGAAAGCGUGGGGAGCAAACAGG
rnacentral:rRNA from 2 species